GGGUGGGGGUGUAGCAGAGCCCAAUGGAAUCUCUGUACCUGUACAGUGUGUUGUUCAAAAUUAAAUCAACCUUGGCAUGGCUCGCACUUAAUGCCUGACAGCUCCUACCCCGCUCGUAGCUGGUUAUGCCAGAGCUGAUCUAAAGCUUAUUUGGAGCUCCAGGCAGCCGGAAGAUAUUCCUCGAACGGUGUACUCAUAUCAACUCUGAGAGCAAGUAUAAUAAGGGGCUGUAAGCUGGCUGAAUAGUGACGUGGAGGAGAGAGAAGAGGUGAGAAAGGAGAAACGGGCUAUAAGCUUACAGCCGACUUAGGCACAGGAACCAAGAAACUUUGUGAGAAUGACUUGUGGGCCAUGUAUUAAUGGUGAAGAGCUAAUCAUUGUACGAGUGGGCUAGGAAAAGGCUGAGAGAAACCUUGCAGCCCGCUUGCUAGCUGCGUUAUUAAACUUGCUCUGAUGGAACCAUUUCUAUCGUAGGCCUGGUUCGUGUUCCAAU
rnacentral:lncRNA from 1 species